AGUGAACGCUGGCGGCAGGCCUAACACAAUGCAAGUCGAACGGCAGCACGGCAGUAGCAAUACUGUGGGUGGCGAGUGGCGGACGGGUGAGGAAUACAUCGGGAUCUACCCUGUUGUGGGGGGAUAACGUAGGGAAACUUACGCUAAUACCGCAUAAGAACUGAGGUUGAAAGCGGCGGACCGCAAGGCGUCGCGCGAUUGGAUGAACCGAUGUCCGAUUAGCUAGUUGGCGGGUAAAGGCCCACCAAGGCGACGAUCGGUAGCUGGUCUGAGAGGACGACCAGCCACACUGGAACUGAGACACGGUCCAGACUCCUACGGGAGCAGCAGUGGGGAAUAUUGGACAAUGGGCGCAAGCCUGAUCCAGCCAUGCCGCGUGGGUGAAGAAGGCCUUCGGGUUGUAAG
rnacentral:rRNA from 1 species